UAGGAAAGGGAACCACUGGGC
rnacentral:misc_RNA from 1 species